rnacentral:snoRNA from 1 species
GCCACAUGAUGUGAUGUAGAUUGCAUGAGCACUCUGUGUGAAGAUGACCUUCUAUCUAUCACCCAUGACUGAUGGCU